CUUCUUCUGAAGACAACAUGGCUGCCCAGCUUCUGGGAAACUGUCGGUUUUUUCACCUGCUGUUUAACAAGAUUUGCCCAGAAUGAAGGACCUGGAAGCUUGUUUUGUGUCUCUUCAGCUGAGUUGACGCUAUCUGACAAAAUUUCUGGACUUCCAAUUUGGAUAGCACAUCUUGAAAUGAUGUGUCGGGAGCAACUAUGGUUCAGAGAAGGAGACAUUUUCACAGAAGAUGAACAGCAAGUAAUACAGAAUGAAGGAGAGGUAAGGAGACAGAAUUUCUAAGUGGGUGGCCAUAACUUCGCAAGUAUAUUU
rnacentral:lncRNA from 11 species